rnacentral:Y_RNA from 1 species
GGCUGCUUCAAAGGUAGUGAGUUAUCUCCUUAUCAAACUCCUUGUUCUACUCUUUACCUCCUUCUCACUACUGCACUUGACUAGUCUAAA